GGGUGUAAAGUCAAUCUGGCUAAAAACAUCUAUCACCCCACUGAUCACCCUGGCUAAUCUAGCUGGAUAUAAAAAUACCCACCUCCUCUCUUAUCAUCCUACGUGUAUCUUUCCCAAAGCUGUAUGUUUGAUCAUACAGUAUCCUUUUCAAUAGAGCAGAACUUGUCUUAGAUCAAGGGUAAUCAGCAGCUGAGCUUCCCAGCUAAAAUAUCCAAACAGGCUCUUAAAGACCAGGUAUAUAAACAACAGCAGAUGCCUCUUCAAAGAGCUCCAAAAGCUAGUGUACAAAUAAACCAGUAAUAGUUU
rnacentral:snRNA from 1 species